GCCAGGCAUGGUGGUGGUCGCCUGUAAUCCCAGCUACUCGGGGGCUGAGGCAGGAGAAUCGCUUGAAGCUGGGAGGCAGAGGUUCCAGUAAGCCAAGAUGGUGCCACUGCACUCUAGCCUGGGCAACAUGAGUGAAACUCCAUCUCAAANNNNNNNNNNUUUGAGAUGGAGUUUCACUCAUGUUGCCCAGGCUAGAGUGCAGUGGCACCAUCUUGGCUUACUGGAACCUCUGCCUCCCAGCUUCAAGCGAUUCUCCUGCCUCGG
rnacentral:SRP_RNA from 1 species